GUGUAAUGAUGAAACCCAUGCGUGUCAGCUGACUCUGUUCAUUCCUGCUGUGCUGGCGCUCAGGUCGGCGUUCUGUUGGCUCGAGUCGUCGGCACAGCGGGGGCCCAGAGACGUGAUCAUACCUCACUACUUCUGAAUAC